GGCGGGUUAGCGUAAUGGUUAACGCGUCAGUUUCCGGUGUAAUAUUGAGCUGAAGAUUCCUGGUUCGAGUCCUGGGCCUGUUG